AGAAGCAAUGAGGAAAUAAAACGUACGGCAUUGGCGAACUUUCUUCCUUCAAGAUUCCUUUCCUUCUCCAAUCCAAUCCAAGGGAAGCCCUCCUCACACACACUCUCACACGACAUUCUUCAAUUUCUUUCCUCUUCUUCUAUAUAAAACAAACACAUAUUUAUCAUUAUGUAUACACAUUCAUUGAAUUUGAAGAUUUUAUUUUAAUUUGAUCUUCAGAUCUAUGUAAAGAAGAGAUUGCUUUUGAGUUUGGUUGAGAAGACACUGGAGGCAGCGGUUCAUCGAUCUUUUCCUGAAGAUUUUUUUGUUUUACACGAACAACACGAACCGAUCGAUAAACCUCUGCAUCCAGUGCUUCCCUUACUCCACUUUUUUUUCUUUUAAUUUUUUUUCUCUUUCUAAACAAAAACAAAACAGUUUGUUUUAGAAAAUUGUAUUGUAUGCUAGCAUCUUAAAAUCAUAAUUAUUUUUAUAUAUAUAAUUUGGAUUUGUGAGAGGCUGGUUAGUUACAGGGAGAGCAAAUGCAACAAAGCCUUAUCGUUUUCCAGUCGCGGCCUUAACCCGCAGACGUUAGCUCUUAAUACAGAGGCGAAUGGUUACUCUGGCUUUCAUUAUUUUUGCCCUACUUCUGGAAAUUGUUAGUUUUGGGGUUCCGUUCCUUUCUGUAAAGGUCUAGUGUCUUUCAAAAUAGUUUGUGCUCGGGCAGUUCUAUUUCCACGCGCAAGGGGCCAGGUGUGGUCAUUUUAUGUUAUCCUAUAGAUGGUAGAAGAAAAAAUGGUGGAUUAAAAUUUCUCUAGAGAAUGUACUCGCUAUUUUGACUUAUUUUCUGUAAAGCACUGGGUUUUUUUUGGUGACUUGUGGUCCCACGGGUGUUUUUUAUUACUUCGCAGGAAAGCAAUUCUGUCAAUAAAUUUUUUGGUGCUCUUUUUCCUGUA